rnacentral:rRNA from 1 species
UACGUAGGGGGCAAGCGUUGUCCGGAUUCAUUGGGCGUAAAGAGCGUGUAGGCGGCCAGGUAGGUCGGUUGUGAAAACUGGAGGCUCAACCUUCAGAGGUCGACCGAAACCAUCUGGCUAGAGUCCGGGAGAGGAGAGUGGAAUUCCUGGUGUAGCGGUGAAAUGCGCAGAUAUCAGGAAGAACACCCGUGGCGAAGGCGGAUCUCUGGGCCUUACCUGACGCUGAGGCGCGAAAGCUAGGGGAGCGAACAGG